AAGAGCUCAAAUUUGAAAUCUGGCUCCUUCGGGGUCCGAGUUGUAAUUUGUAGAAGAUGCUUCGGGUGUGGCUCCGGUCUAAGUUCCUUGGAACAGGACGUCAUAGAGGGUGAGAAUCCCGUAUGUGACUGGGUGCCUACGCCCGUGUGAAGCUCUUUCGACGAGUCGAGUUGUUUGGGAAUGCAGCUCAAAAUGGGUGGUAAAUUUCAUCUAAAGCUAAAUACUGGCCAGAGACCGAUAGCGCACAAGUAGAGUGAUCGAAAGAUGAAAAGCACUUUGGAAAGAGAGUUAAACAGUACGUGAAAUUGUUGAAAGGGAAGCGCUUGCAAUCAGACUUGCGCCCGGGCGAUCAUCUGGGGUUCUCCCCAGGGCACUCGUCCGGGCUCAGGCCAGCAUCAGUUCUCGUGGUGGGAUAAAGGCCCUGGGA
rnacentral:rRNA from 1 species